rnacentral:rRNA from 1 species
AUUGAACGCUGGCGGCAGGCUUAACACAUGCAAGUCGAGCGGGGUGAUGGCGCUUGCACUAUCACUUAGCGGCGGACGGGUGAGUAAUGCUUAGGAAUCUGCCUAUUAGUGGGGGACAACAUCUCGAAAGGGAUGCUAAUACCGCAUACGUCCUACGGGAGAAAGCAGGGGAUCACUUGUGACCUUGCGCUAAUAGAUGAGCCUAAGUCGGAUUAGCUAGUUGGUGGGGUAAAGGCCUACCAAGGCGACGAUCUGUAGCGGGUCUGGGAGGAUGAUCCGCGACCCUGGGACUGAUACACAGCCCGGACUCCUACGGGAGGCAGCAGUGGGGAAUAUUGGAAAAUGGGGGGAGCCCUGAUCCAGCCAUGCCGCGUGUGUGAAGAGGGCCUUAUUGUUGUAGAGCGCUUUAAGCGAGGAGGAGGCUCUUUUGGUUAAUACCCAAGAUGAGUGGACGGUACUCGCAGAAUAAGCACCGGCUAACUCUGUGCCAGCCGCCGCCGUAA